UUGUUCUUCUUCACCCGAUAAACCCCAAUUAAUUUAGGGUUUUCAUCUUCAUCGUUACCUCAGAAAAACUUCUCCAAAUUCUAGCAAUCCGAUUCGAAUUUCGCAUACAAUAUCACGAAAACAGCACCGUUUUGGAUCCAUGUGUUGAUUUGCAGAUUCGAAAAUGACACGGGCUUAUACUAUGAAGGGGAAGAAGCGAAAGAACAAGGAAGUGUCAGGGAAGUACAAUCGUGAAGAAGAUGAAGAAGAACAAGUCCAAUCAAAGAAACCAGCGAUUCAGAGAAGAACCAACGUCGGUAGUUACAAAAACUGAGGAAAGUAGUGAACUUGCAGGUAUUUCAAUUGCUCCUUCAUUUGAAAAACCAGUGAUAAAGCGGGUGUUAUUUUCAUUCUAAUCUUUUCAUAUUGUUAAAUGUGUUUAAGAAUUACUUCUAAGGUUAGAUAUAUGAUUGAUUGUGAACUAUGAAGCACAGACACAUAGACACAAAUUAAACAUAAUCACAAGUGUGUUGUGCGGUUUCGGUCCGCGACACUGACACAUUUUUUCAGAGGCGUCGGUGCUAGAUAGGUUUACAUCAAUGGAUAUUUUUCUCUAGCUAAGUUAUUAUACUUUUUGAUUUAAGUUCUGAUAUAUUUAGCAGAUGCUGCAGUAUAACUACUGCAAGGAGGUUAAUUUCUAAAUUGUACUUCAAUGCUAAUUUUUCCAGCAUUUUGUAUAUUUUGAUAGUCCUAGUUGUAUUUGUUAACAAAAUCCAACUACACAAUCUUCAGGUCCUCGUCGUCGGCCGAAACAGGUAAGUCAAUUCAUCUCUACACAACUGCCUCUAACACUGUCAGUUAUAAUAACUCUAAUCACGUGCGUGUGUGUGUGUGUGUGUGUGCGUAACAGAGAAAAGGUGAAGCUCUCGUUGUUUUUUUGGAUGACCGGGUUUAAGAUUGGUGAUAUUCGUUAAGUGUUGAAUUGAAAAAGUCAGCUUUGGAGUUUUGUGUUUUUGGUAAUAUUCCAGGAGAGGACUCUUCUAAAAUUCUGCAAUGUCCUUGUCUUAGGUGCAGUGCAGGGCAGACUCACUUUCAAUUGUCUUCAACACUAACCUCUUCAUCCUCUAAACCACUCAUGUUCCCAGGUCUGAAGCUUGAAUGGAUGUGGUUGAAAGUUGUUAUGAUGCUGAUCUGAGUUGUUGUGAAUUUGUGAUGAUGAAGGAAAUGGAAGCUACCGUUGUUGACAGCGGCAAUGGAACCGAGACUGGACAUAUCAUUGUGACUACUAUUGGUGGUAGAAAUGGUCAGCCAAAGCAGACUAUAAGCUAUAUGGCAGAGCGUGUUGUAGGACAUGGAUCAUUUGGAGUUGUCUUCCAGUUGUUUUCUAGGUCAAUGAAAUGAGAGAUAGACCUUCAUGCAAAGUUUCUCAAUGUUGAGAAUGUACUUGGCUUACACGAGGCUCUUCGGAGAUAAAUAGUAGCUUUGAUGAAUGUAGAAGGAAUCAAUAGGGAACUUGUUGCAAGCCAUAUCCACAUUACAUUUUCUUUAAUAUUGUUAUUUACAAAUCUGUUGUUGCUAAAGCAGCUGGUAUAAUCCACUUCUAACCCUUUUUUAAAAUUAUUUUUUUCUUUGAAUUUUUUUUCUGAAAAUUAUAAUUCUUUCAAAUAAUUUACCCAAAUUUUGUAUUAUUUCAAGUUGCUAAGUUAUAUGAGUGAAUAAAACAGUGCAUCUGACAAACUGGCCUUAAAGUGUGUAUACCAACCUUGUUUAGUUGAUUAACUUGAAAUUUUGUAUAGCUUUUGAUUUGGCUGAAUAUGAGUAUUUGUUUUUGGCAGUAUGUUUGGAUGGACCAUUGCCUGCUUAUCAUUUCAACCGUGGAUUCGGAUCGGGAGCAAACAGCUGGCUUGUUAAUUUAGAGGGAGGUGCGUGGAUCAUCAAAUUUCAUGGAGAAGGCGAUUCCUUUUAUGGGAAUAAUGAGCAAUAAUGCUCAAGAGAAUCCAGAUUUUUCAUCAUAUAAGUUUCCUACAAAAUGGCUGGCCAUCAAUCUCACUCAGAAUUAUGAUUAUUGUUGUGGUGGUUUGGAGGCCAGAUACCCGUAGGUACCGUAUCUUACUGUUUUAAUCUGAAUGUGAAUCAAGCUAGCUCUGAGGUGAAAAAUUCUGUCUGUUGGGGAUUUCUCAUAAUCCAACUAUUCCGGGAGAGGACGAAGCUAGUAGUCCAGUAAUGAAAGUGAUCAAACAAAUGAAGUUGGCGUCGAUGAAUUAGAUGAAGAAGACCUUAGUAAUAAAUUCUGAUUUGUACUGUUUUUCUUGUUGACUUGGUGUAUCCUUUUAACUUAGGUGGACAAAUGAUCAUUAGUAGCUUGGUUCUUUGAGUCAUUUUUAGUAAUGUGACUAUCUAAAUUCUUGUUACUAACUUUGUAGCAAUUUUUAUAGUAAUAAGUUGUAUAUGAAUUUGUCUUAUUU